UAAUCUACCGUUCUCUCUUCAGUUCUUAUCUUGUUCACAGACCAAGAUCCCCUUCUUCUUCCACAGAUAAUAUCUCUUUCAUCGUUUUUCAUCAUCACAAUCCCUAAAUCAUAAAGCCUUUUGUUUUAUCAACAGUUCAAUAUUGACAAAGUCUAUUAUUAUUUUUUUCUCAUCCUCAAAUUCAACAAAGCCUCGAAGAACCCUAGAAUAGAAAUCCAGUUUUUCUCAAUAAUUAAGUUCAAAAUCUAAGUCAGAAAUUGAAGACUAACCUUCAUUAAAUCUAUUCCAGAAGUUCACUGUCACAAAUCAUAACUUCAUUAAAACCCCUAUCUCAAAUCAGGACGCAUGUAUUAACAGAAAUCAAACAUUGUAACCCUGGAUCUAGUCUUUUCUCUCCUGAAAUCAUCAGAUAAGGUGUUUCCUUUUCUAUUUUCACCUAUAGCUUCUCUGAAUGAAGAUAAGGGUCUUUAUGGAUUCAAAGUCUUAAAAUCUGAAUGGUUUUCAUUGCUUCGUUGAUGAAGCUAUCGAAAGGAGAAUUUUUCUUAUGUAUCAGAUUCUAAUGUCGAUAUUAUUCGAGCCAUGGAUGAGAUUGGGGGUACGGUACGUAUUAGGUAUGCUCUGUAGACUGUAGUGGAUUCAGCAGAACUUUGUUGGAAUACUCAUCCCGAUAGGUACACUGAUUCUUUGAGAAACUGAUGUUUUGGUGUUUAUCUGUUGUGGGUUUAUUGAAAGUUCUUCUCUUUUUCUUUCUUGGUAGAGAAUAUGUGGAGGAGGCUAAUAAGGCGACUAUUAGAAUUCAUGAAUAUCUACAUGUGAGGUGACCGUUGUCUAUUCAGUUAUGCUGUUUUGAGUUUUUGUUUGUUCUGCAUUCAAUUCAUUGUUGUUCACGGGUCUAUUUAGGUAAGUAUACAAUUUGCAUGUGUAUUAUCAAUUAUGGAGGAGGAUCCUAUAAGUAAACAAUGACAGACUCUUUUCUUCUUUUUCUACGUGUUCGUUCAAAGUAAAUAUAUAUAGUUAGGCGUUGAUGAUGUAUGAUGUGCAAGGACAAUAACAAUCAAGCUUUUUAUGCUGGAUUUUCCUUACAGUUUCUGAAUAAAAAUCACUGCCUUUACAAUGCAGUAUUAAAGGCCAAGGGUUUAGUGAGAUGUGUAUUAUCAAGCGUUUAGUGAGAUGAUUUCAAAGUUGAGAAGGAAUGGAAGAUUCAUAGGACUCUUAAAACUAGCCAAGAAAAUGGUGUUGUUGUUGUUGAUUCAUUGGGUUGAAUAGUUAUGGUUUAUAGAUGUCCAAAAUUGUUGGGUUUGUAUCCAAACUCGGAUUUGCAUGUGGAGAAGCUGUGAGAGGAGCUCAAACCAAUCAGGGAAAACUGCAUAGCUACUGUUCGUCGAAAUUCCUGAAAGAAGAGGACAUUUCUUAGUAUGAAUUUCAUGUUCAUUUCUUUGAGCAUUCUGUUGUAGUUUGAGAUUUGGCUAAUUAUAAUUUGUGACCAUUCAACCAAUUUGGAACCGACACAAGGUGGGAUAUCAUUUCUACUUAAAAAUGAUAUGACUUAGGUGUUGAUUGUGCUAAUCAAAUAGAAAAUUACUAAUUAGCGCUCAUCUUUAGCCGUAACCCAAUAGUAUAUGUCACCUUUAAGAAUGGUUGGUUACAAGAUUUGUAUGACCUGAUCUUGGAUUGUUCUAUGCUAAUUAAAUGCACUUGUUUUUCAUUAAUUAUGGACCUGAUGCUUCCAUUUUAGAAAGUGUUAUCUUAUGUGUAGCUAGCUUGUACAAACAAUUGAAUAUGGUUGCCUUUUGAAUUUAUGUAUGUGUAGUGUACACUGUGUUAUUGCUGUUAGUGGAGGAAAAUGUUCGCUACCUGUAUCCGAGAGACACAUGCUAGCUAAUUUUUAUUUUCAUUUUAAAUGAGGUCAUGCAGGUAGCCCCGGUGCAUAUAUUUGUGUUUCACUUUGUCAUUUUAGAUUGGGAACUGGAACUCUUAUUCUUUCCAUCUUCAUAAAAGGGUCUAGGCUACAAUAAAUAGAUGGACCUCAUAUAGACCUAUAGUAUGGGUCAGAUAAAGAGUACGUAGAAAGUUUUGCAUACAGCAGUCAAACAUGCAGACUUGAACUUGUAUGGAAAGGAUAUUUUUCUUCUUUUGGUCUGUUUGACCCUGUCUAGUGCAUUUCGAUGUUUUAAUUGCCACUGCUCUCUUCACUAUGAGCUCUAUUAAACUAAUAUGGUGAUGUUUUCUAAAGGAGCCUAAUUUUUUGGUAUUGUCCCUGGUUCCAAAAGAGGAAUAAUGGCUUGAUGCUUACUUUGUGUUUCAAUGGAACACAUUGCUUUAAUGACUUUAUUUAGUAUUGUUGUCUCUUGUUACAUGAACUUGGUAACACUUGCAUUUAUUUGUUUAAUUAAAAUAAAGAAUGUCUUUACAUUGUCAAAAAAGACCAAGACAUGUUGAUAGUAUGAAGUGAGUCACGACCACCAUAUUCAUUUUUAUUUAUUUUGUAUCUGUAUAUGUCACUUGCCAAGGGUUAUGUAUGCUAUAUUUUUUUCAUAUCAAGUCGUGGAAAUAUAUACAAUGAGUUGCUGUGAAAAUGUUAUGAGCUGUAUCUUAUUUUAGCAAAAGGGAAAUGUAAAUCCAUGGUCCUGGUGCUAACUGUUGAAGGUCCGGUAAGUAAUACUGCCACAUUUCCUUUGAGAGAAAAUAAAGAUAAUUUGAUAUGUCGCAGGAUCAGACUGGCAUGCGCUGCCAAAGUUGUUAUGAACUUUAGCGUCUUAGUGCUAUUUGUUUCAUUUUUUUCUCCUCCAUUAUAGUCAUUCACAUGCCGUCGUGCUAAUUUCCUUAUUGUUUGGGAAUUUGGCUAUCGCAUAUCUAGUGUGCAGGAAUGGCUUAUGUAUCUGUUUGGUUUCAUGGGUUAUACAAAUGAAGACCAUCCCUUUAUUAAUAAUUAGGUCACACAAGAUAAAGAAUGUACAAGGAUAGUGUUGCUGGCCAAUGUUAGAGAUAGUUAACCGAAGAUCAAGGAAGAUCAAGGAGCAAGUGUCAAAAUUACAUUCCCUGGUUAAGAGAUCAACUUCUAGGCACUCCCAUGACAGUUUUUCAUAGGCUCGUACUUGGAGAGCUGAGCACAUGGUCGCCUCUCCAUGUUAUCAGGAAAUAAGCAACGAUUUCAGAAAUGUCGUCGAGGAGAGAUAUUCCUGUAGACUUAGCAGAAGGAGCGCUCCAUGCAAUUUUGCUUGCAAGCAUUCGGCAAGUAUAAUAUUCCGAUCAGUUGGGGAGCUCAGUUCAUCUUUUUGUUGGUUUUAGUUUUGUUUUUUUAAUUCUGUAGGUUGGGUUCCAGUGAUUGUAAGAAAAUUAGUUUUUAAGAAUGCUCAAGUAUAAUUAUAACUUAGAAUGGUGUUAGUUCAGGACUUGUGUAAAUUAUUUUGUGGUUUUUGACCUAACUGUUAGCUCGAUUAAUGUAAAUCGAGUUACUAGUGUAAUCAUAUUUCGAAUUUGAAUUGAAUGGUGAACGUUUUGAUAUCAAA